CUGGCUUUGCUCCCUCUAGACCAUGGAUCCUUACACAUCUCCUUUGAGGUUUACAUGGAUUAAGCAUCUUUCCAGGCAGCAGUUUUCACUUGCAGCUCAGUACAGAAAAUCAACAACGAAGAAGCUGUCACAUCCCACCACAUCACAUCCCUCAUCCACUCCCUUGAGAACCUGCAUACAGCCAAUAUCUCUUUCUGUUCAAGUCAAUAAAUAUUAUGAUGGCUAAUACCAGUGCAUUUCACAAACUCUCAACACAGAAGGUACAGCUGCAGAAAGGAAAAGAUGCCCUAAUUACUCACAGGUAUUAUAUUGGAAGAAUUGGAGAAGAAAACUCGAUGGCAGAGGAGAAA